GUGCCAGCAGCCGCGGUAAUACGUAGGGCGCAAGCGUUGUCCGGAAUUAUUGGGCGUAAAGAGCUUGUAGGUGGCUUGUCGCGUCUGCCGUGAAAACCCGAGGCUCAACCUCGGGCGUGCGGUGGGUACGGGCAGGCUAGAGUGUGGUAGGGGAGACUGGAACUCCUGGUGUAGCGGUGAAAUGCGCAGAUAUCAGGAAGAACACCGAUGGCGAAGGCAGGUCUCUGGGCCAUUACUGACACUGAGAAGCGAAAGCAUGGGUAGCGAACAGGAUUAGAUACCCUGGUAGUCC
rnacentral:rRNA from 1 species